GCGGUGGCUAUAAAUUGAUGGAAACGGUGGGAAAAAACACACAAAUUGGACUCAAACAAGACCUAACCAGUAACAAGACCUCGACCAGGACACAAACUCAACACUACGGACUCUGAAACUGAAAUAUGCAAAGACUAUGGUGCGGAUGGGUUGUAGGACAUGAAAACAAUAUGGCACCAGACUUAUGGGACGAACACAAGGACACUCGAAACUAAGGGUAGAUGUGAACCUAACGUUAUCUCUGAAGCUUUGAUUACCACUUGAGGAGAAUAAGUGUGGCCUGAUCUUCCAAAAGUUUCUGGCAACUAUCGAUUUGGUGGAAAAGAGACACAAAUCAAUGCAGCUUGCGAACAACACAGUUCGAAACCUGCAAUUCUUUUUAUUUUUUUUUUGAUAUUUUUCUUUUACUUAGGAGCACUCAAGAAGUAACCACAGGAAAUUUGAGCUUGAACAAGAGAAAGACGUGGCCUGUGGAAACUUUUGAAGAUUGCGAAAAAUAUAAAGAAAACUUUAGGAGGUGAAAACUCAAACUUCAGAGGCGAAUUUGGGGAUUGUAAAUUUGUUGAACCCGCCAAUGGCGGGCAUAGACAGACAUCGAUUUUGAUAUAUGGAACGUCAAAAUCGGAGUUCGUAUGCGAAAGUUAUGGCUGUUUUACGAACGCACUCCGAAUUAGAGGACAAAACAGUCCGGAAGUGGGAAAAUUUGCGGCGGUGGCUAUAAAUUGAUGGAAACGGUGGGAAGAAACAUACAAAUUGGACUCUAACAAGACCUAACCAGUAACAAGACCUCGACCAGGACACAAACUCAACACUACGGACUCUGAAACUGAAAUAUGGAAAGGCUAUGGCGCGGAUGGGUUGUAGGACAUGAAAACAAUAUAGCACUAGACUUAUGGGACGAACACAAGGACACUCGAAACUAAGGAUAGAUGUGAACCUAACGGUACGUCUGAAGCUUUGAUUACCACUUGAGGAGAACAAGUGUGGCCCGAUCUUCCGAAAGGUUCUGGUAACUAUCGAUUUGGUAGAAACGAGACCCAAAUCAAUCCACCUUGCGAACAACAUGAUUCGAAACACUACAAUUCUUUUUAUUUUUUUUAUUUGUUAUUUUCUUUUACUUAGGAGCACCGAAGAAGUAGCCACAGGAAAUUUGAGCUUAAACAAGUGAAAGACGUGGCCUGUGGAAUUUUUUGUAGAUUGCAAAAAAUAUGAAAAUAAACUCUAGGAGGUGAAAACUCAAACUUCAGAGGCGAAUUUGGGGAUUCUAAAUUUGUCGAACCCGCCUUUGGGGGAUAGACAGACCCAAAAAAUUUUUCUAAUUGAUUUUGAUAUAUGGAACGUCAAAAUCGGAGUUCGUAUGCGAAAGUUAUGGCUGUUUUACGAACGGACCCCAAAUUAGAGGACAAAACAGUCCGGAUGUGGGAAAAAUUUGCGGCGGUGGUUAUAAAUUGAUGGAAACGGUGGGAAGAAACACACAAAUUGGACUCUAACAAGACCUAACCAGUAACAAGACCUUGACUAGGACACAAAACACUACGGACUCUGAAACUGAAAUAUGCAAAGGCUAUGGCGCGGAUGGGUUGUAGGACAUGAAAACAAUAUGGCACCAGACUUAUGGGACGAACACAAGGACACUCGAAACUAAGGGUAGAUGUGAACCUAACGGUAUGUCUGAAGCUUUGAUUACCACUUGAGGAGAAUAAGUGUGGCCCGAUCUUCCGAAAGGUUGUGGUAACUAUCGAUUUGGUGGAAAAGAGACACAAAUCAAUCGAGCUUGCGAACAACACGGUUCGAAACCUGCAAUUCUUUUUAUUUUUUUUGAUAUUUUUCUAUUACUUAGGAGCACUCAAGAAGUAACCAAAGGAAAUUUGAGCUUAAACAAGUGAAAGACGUGGCCUGUGGAAUUUUUUGAAGAUUGCGAAAAAUAUAAAAAAAACUUUAGGAGGUCAAAACUCAAACUUCAGGGGUGAAUUUGGGGAUUCUAAAAUUAUUGAACCCACCUCUAGCGGAGAUAGACAGAUCCAAAAAUUUGUUCUGAUCGAUUUUGAUAUAUGCAACGUCAAAAUCGGAGUUCGUAUGCGAAAGUUAUGGCUGUUUUACGAACGGACUCCGAAUUAGAGGACAAAACGUCCGGAAGUGGGAAAAAUUUGCGUUGGUGGCUAGAAAUUGAUGGAAACGGUAGGAAAAAACACACAAACUGGACUCAAACAAGACCUAACUAGUAACAAGACCUCGACCUGGACACAAUCUCAAAACUACGGAUUCUGAAACUGAAAUAUGCAAAGGCUAUAGCGCGGAUGGGUUGUAGGACAUGAAAACAAUAUGACACUAGACUUAUGAGACGAACACAAGGACACUCGAAACUAAGUGUAGAUGUGAACCUAACGGUAUGUCUGAUGCUUUGAUUACCACUUGAGGAGAACAAGUGUGGCCCGAUCUUCCAAAAGAUUCUGGUAACUGUCGAUUUCGUGGAAACGAGACACAAAUCAAUCCAGCUUGCGAACAACACGAUUCGAAACCCUACAAUCCUUUUUAUUUUUUUUUGAUGUUUUUCUUUUACUUAGGAGCACUCAAGAAGUAACCACUGGAAAUUUGAGCUUAAACAAGUGAAAGACGUGAGCUGUGGAAACUUUUGAAUAUUGCGAAAAAUAUGAAAAAAAAAUUUUGGAGGUGAAAACUCAAACUUCAGAGGCAAAUUUGGGGAUUCUAAAAUUGUCAAACCCGCACACGGCAGGGAUAGACAGAUCCAAAAAUUUGGUUUGAUCGAUUUUGAUAUAUGGAACGUCAAAAUCGGAGUUCGUAUGCGAAAAUUAUGGCUGCAUUACGAACGGACACCGAAUGAGAAGACAAAACGGUCCGGAAGUGGGAAAAAUUUGCGGCGGUGGCUAGAAAUUGAUGGAAACGGUGAGAAGAAACACAUAAAUUGGACUCUAACAAGACCUAACCAGUAACAAGAUCUCGACCAGGACACAAACUCAACACUACGGACUCUGAAACUGAAAUAUGCAAAGGCUAUGGCGCAGAUGGGUUGUAGGACAUGAAAACAAUAUAGCACUAGACUUUUAGGACGAACACAAGGACACUCGAAACUAAGGAUAGAUGUGAACCUAACGGUACGUCUGAAGCUUUGAUUACCACUUGAGGAGAACAAGUGUGGCCCGAUCUUCCGAAAGGUUCUGGUAACUAUCGAUUUGGUG
rnacentral:lncRNA from 1 species